AAAUCGUGGUGUGGGCAACAUCUCAGCAAGUCCUUGUACCUUUACCACGCAUCAUACAUGCUCUCAUCAUCAAACUGCAUAAAAAAAUAUCAUUACGCAUUU
rnacentral:snoRNA from 1 species